UAUUAUAGAAUACGUGGAAAUUUUUUGAAUACUAUUAGUUAUGUUCUUUAAAACUCAAGUAAUUUGGCGGUAAUUUAUUUCUGUUCAGAGGAAUAUGUAUAUUAAUUGAUAAUCCACGAUAUUUUAUACCAAGUAAGUAUUUGUAUACCUCUAUUUAGGGAAUUUACUCAUGAAUUUUCUUUUUUAAUUUUUAAUUAAUUUUAGGUCAAGGUGCAGUUUUUAUUUAGGAAUAUAUGUAUUACUUUAAUUUUAAAUUUUUUUAUUUAAUUGAAUUUUUUAAUUAUUUUAAUUGGAUUUGAAAGUAAAUUUGAAUAAUUACUCAAUUUGAAUUUGUUCUGAUUUAUGUACACAUC
rnacentral:rRNA from 1 species